AUGUACAUAUGUUUGAGUUGCGGGGAUCAUGGGUCAAGUGAUACUAUGUGCAUUGAUUUUCGCCAAUGUAGAACAACCUUUGUUCUGCCAGUGUGCCUGGCGCCGACGUGGCUUCUCGGGCCGCCUCAGCAGAGGCAGAUACAGAGGCGGCGAUCGAUGGCGAGGAGGGGAGCGGAGGAGCACCCAGAAAAUUUGAACAGAGGGAGAAAGAGGGUGUGUGGGUUUCAGAAACAUCCAGCCAAAGUUUCAAAUUCGAGAGGAUUUUGGCAACAUAUAUAUACGUGCUGCUCUCCUCAAACGAGCGCAGUAAAAAAAUACAUACAUUAUUUUUCAUACAUACAUAUGGCAUCUUCUCUUUUUCAUAUAUCAACUAUACAUACAUUAUUUUUCAGUAAAAAAAUAAUGCAGUCACACGUCAAUGGAUCAUCACCAUCCACCCGAAAUUUGGCUGCAGCUACUACCUAG
rnacentral:rRNA from 1 species